ACAAUACACCACUCAAUUUUGGAGCUUCAGGACAGUCCAGCUUACCAACACCCUCGACUUCUCUUUUAGUUCCAUCACCAAAUGUCACAAACUUGGUGGUAGGAGGAUGUAGAUUCACCACUAGGUUGCUCAUCCCAGUCAUAUGCCUUGAGCAGCCACUAUCAAGGUACCAGUCUUGUCUGAUAUGUGCCCUUGAAAAUGUGUGAGCAAGGUUAGCAACACAUUGUUGAUUCUCAGGAUAGGAGUGAAGCUUAGAUGCCUGCUGCUUAGGAUUGAC
rnacentral:lncRNA from 1 species